UAAAUAUAUAUGAUCAAGGACGCAAGUAAUAUGUAAUCAAAGUUAGUUGGAAGCUAACGUUCGUCUACUUCGCAUGUUCCUUUGGGUACUCGCAGCCAUAUCUCUCAAUUAUUUAAGGUGACAGACAUUUUUUUCUUCUACGAAGAAAAAGAAAGGAAGCAGCUGUAUAAGUACGUCGAAAGAAAGAAAGAAAAUAUGAAAACUUCUACGCAGUAUUUCGAACGUGAUAAAAAGUCAAGACAGAGAUUAGUAUAUUUUUCUUAUACUUUAUCUAUUUCGUAAGACGAAGCUACGUUCGCAGCUAAGAUAUCACGGAUAGGAUUACGGAUGUUUUCAUCUUACGCUCCAGUUCUUUGCAAUAUCGCGAUCGCUUUUCCAACAAUAUCGAAUGAGACGCUUUUGAAAGGUAAAAUUGCUGGAAGGAGAGUAUUAGAUUGAGCAUUCCUUUCGCUGAACGAUAUGCACGUGAAAAUGACAAACGAGUCCUUUGAAGAACGAUCAACGAAAAUAACAAUCCUUCGCUGCAGCCAUAAAAGUUUCUCAUGCAUGAAUUUGGAUAACGAAGCGUUAAAAGAUUCUUCUGUGUUCGUGUAUUAAAUCACGGGAAGAAAGUUAAGAGAGGGAGAGAGAGAGAGAGAGGGAGGGAGAGAGAGAAAGAAAGAGAGAGAGGGAAAGAGAGGUUUUAACUUCGGUGAAUAUUUAUUUGCAUUUGUGAGUGCACGAGCUGAUAACGGCCAGGAAUUUUUUUUAUUAUAUUUUUUACUAUAAUCUCGAUGAUUUUUUAUCAUUUAAAUACGUAUGUCGUAUGAUCUUAAAAUAAAUACAAUGCAUCAUUUUGAAUUUAUUUAGAAAAUAAUUACAAAUUUAUUAUCGGAUUUAUUUCUUUUUUUUUUUUUUUAUGCGAAGUCAUUUAUUACUUUGUACAAUUUAGCAUAAGUACCAUCAAAUAAUAAUUUUUUUUUAUUCUCGAAGCAAAAUGGUAAAAAAGAGGGAUAAAAGAAACGAUAUUUAUUUAAUCACUUGAUUAAAGGUCGACAAAGUAUAUUGGGUAAAUCAAUAGCAUCGUAAGCUCACCUUAUCUAAGCUAUCCGUUCGAGUUUAAGUUCUUCAUACGCAUCAUCGUCACGGAACUAUUUUGUUAAAUAAACAAAAGCUAUUUGUAGUAUUUUCGCUGAUCAAAAUAGAAGCUCUCUUCAUGUCGACAAAUCGAAUUUAUAACAAUCCUGCGCCAUUAACAGAGAAAAUGUGAAGCGUACAACAAAGUCAUUAUGAGUUUCGUAAUCGUAUAAACUUUCAUAAUUAGUUACAAUGAUUAAUUCUGAAAUACAGUAUUCACUUUGUAAUAGAACACACGAUUUUUAAACUUAUGAUAUACCUAAUCCUAUUUUAUUAAAUUAUCCGUUGGACGUACUUGAAUGUAUAAUCAUUCAAAUUAACAAGAAAUUAAACAAUAUGCAAUAAUAUUGACUGAUUGUCAUAGUCGUAUAUAACAAAAAUUACGUUUAUAUUACUACGACAGAUAUUUAACGCUUACAACUUGAUAUCGUAUGUUAUCCUUAGAGUAUAUUAUUAUCCUAUUGUCUCGAGAAAUAUUAAAUAAAGUGUCUCUCGCAUUUUAAGGAUGAAGACAGAGUUUCGUGUCACGUAUUCCACAUGAGAAUAAUUUCGUUUACCACGUGGCUGCAUACGUGCAUCUGUUAAAUUUGUUGCCUCCAGUUGCACAUAUUCUUUUUGUUCUUUUUUUUUUCCAUGGCCUUUCAAAAAUCCAUUAUUAAAAUGAAUGCUUCUUUCAUGAUAAGCAAAAAAUAUAUUAAAUAAUUAAAUGUUUAGUUAAGCGAAAGGUAAAUGUAAUAUUAUAAUAGUUUAUUCAAUGCGUAAUUUUUUAUUAUUUAAAUAAGAUAAUUUUAUUCUAAUAUUUAAACGAAAUUUAUAGAAAUAUUUAUAUUCUUCUAAUAUGAUACUUGUAAUAUAAAUAAUAACGAUUGUGUAUGUGUAUUAAUAUAUAUAUAUUUAAAUUUACAAAAUUAUACUUUUAAACUUUAUCUUCUUAAUACUUAAAAAUUUUAAUAUUCUUCCGUGAUCUUCUAGCUUCUUCCUAGUUGGCAAAAGUUAAAACACCGAGGUAGAGUAGUUCUUAUCGGUACGAUGAAUCCUCCCCUUCAACCUUGCUAAACCCCACAAGAAAGGACUUUGUCCCCAAGGCUUUUAUAAAAAUUUGUUAUUAAUAUGCGAACUGCUUCUGCUUCUGCUUCUGCUUACACGAAGAAACUUAUUUCUUAUAACUAAAACAAAAAAAAAAUAAAAAAAUAUAUUUUAUAUAUCAAUUACAUAUAAAAAUAAAAAGGCAAAAUAUAAGAAAUUGUUUAUUGACGAAAAUUAUAUAAAAAGUUUUAAAAAGAAGUAUUAUCAUUUUAUUUUUUUAUUUCAUUGAAUUUCAUUAAAUUUUUUAUAUACUAUUGCUCAUAUCGAUUUUUACAAGCUAAAUACUUUUCUUCGGUUAAGUGCGUAUUUACUUCAUUUUUGUUUUAUAAACCACAUUAUCGUAUAAUAUGAAAUAAAAAAUUUAUGAGUCGACAAUCAUUGAAGAAUAGCAUAUUUAUGAAUCCAAUGGAAGAUUUAUAUAUAUUAACGUUUUAAAAGACGAGGAGCCGAUUUAUGAUCUCGGUUAUUUUUAUACCCAUAAAUCCCUCGUAAAUCUAUAACGUUUCGCGAUGAUAUUGAACAUAUCGAAAUCGUCAUCGUUCUAUCAAGAUAACUUGCUGUUUUACUCGCGAAUAACGUAAGACAUGAAAUACUUUGACAUAGCUUUAUUAUUGAUCUUCCUUAAUGUCAUAGGAAAUUUACAAUAAUUACUUUAGUGAGAAUAAGUGUUCUCUAUAUGGCAAAUACUAUA